AAAGCACUUUCAGUAGGGAGGAAGGUAGUGUAGUUAACACCUGUAUUAUUUGACGUUACCUACAGAAGAAGCACCCGGCUAACUCCGUGCCAGCAGCCGCGGUAAUACGGAGGGGUGCGAGCGUUAAUCGGAAUUACUGGGCGUAAAGCGCAUGCAGGCGGCCUGUUAAGUCAGAUGUGAAAGACCCGGGGCGUUAACCUCGGAAUUGCAUUUGUAAACUGGCAGGCUAGAGUCUUGUAGAGGGGGGUAGGAAUUUCAGGUGUAGCGGUGAAAUGCGUAGAGAUCUGAAGGAAUACCAGUGGCGAAGGCGGCCCCCUGGACAAAGACUGACGCUCAGAUGCGAAAGCGUGGGGAGCAAACAGGAUUAGAUACCCCUGGUAG
rnacentral:rRNA from 1 species